CUCGAACCUGGAACCUGUGGCACCUCUGAAAAGAACUUGACGUGCAACCUUCUCACCGUAUAGUUCAUCUCACCCUGAUGAACGCUACCUGUGGACACAAGAGCGUUGAAAACCACUCGCCCGUCGGAGGCAGGGGCCCUGGAGAGUUGCAGAUGACAGUCCUGGCCUGAUCCAUUACCACUUCGCCCCGGGCUUAAUUAUCAUCUCCCUCCAGCAACAUGCAACACUCUCUCCUUCCAACGCAAUCUUGCGCCAACUUCUCAAUCUGGUUGCAGCAGGAGCGACACUUGUGUUUCUUUUUGCAUUCACAGUAACCCCCCUUCGGGGGCCUUUGCUGGGGCACACCUGCAUGCAUUAAAAACAACAAUUACAGAGCGAUCACGACGAUCAGCGCUGACGAAUUCAGCUCCUGAGUUUGUUAUUUCCCGGUGGGAUUUUGCGGCAUCGCGGAAAGCACAAGCAGUGGCGCGUCGUGCCUCUCUCCGCCCCAGCGACGCCACGCGUCAUUUCUUUUGACAGGUCCCGGGGAUAAAGAGAGCAGGCGUAAAGCUUCAAAAUCGAAUUGGUCACACGGCCUUGCCGAUCACGCGGGCUCACGACCAAGGUGAAGCCGCUGUUACGCGUCUGCCUCUGCUCUGUGAUGGAAAUGAAGCCUGGUGUCCACACCCACACCUAUUGAGCGGGGGAUUUGCGUGGGCCGAGGUACAAGCGCGCUUCGAUCGCCACUGUGGGAGAAGCUUCGGCUUUGCCCUUCUUCAAAGUGAUAUUUACUAAAAGGAAAUGCCUGCCUAGGUUUAUUCAAAAGGAAGCUCCUGUUAUGGUGGGAAGACAAAAAGGUACUUCACACUGUCCUCCCCGGGGCACAUGUACUCCUAAAGCUCCACUGCUUCGCUUUUACUCCUGGUUCUAAGUACUUGUUCCUCCCCUAGAGUGCAGUGCGCUCUCUCUCCUGCUCAGUCGUCUCCCCCUUUUUUGCUUUUCUCCCAUUAUUCUCUGUGUACCUAACUUAACUUCUCUUGUCUUUUCCGCGUACACCCCCGUUGUCUCUGUCCUCGGGGCUCCGUCACAACCCGCCCCCC
ensembl:lncRNA